UAGCAGUCACCCACCCACCGCGAACACGAAGACCCAGUCAGUCAGUCACCCACCCACCUACAGGACCUCCGACCUCACCACCUCCGACGUCACCGCCUCCACCCAGAAAGCCUCCACCCAGCAGCGUUUCUGGGUUCUGUAGGGUCACCUCACCACCUCCGACCUCGCCGCCUGCACCCAGAAAGCCUCCCACCCAGCCACCGAUUCAGGUGCAUAUGGAGCCCGAGCCAUCUAUUCAGCCAUGCCAGUUUCCACAGUUGCUUCAGAAUCGGCAUUUAGUACUGGAGGAAGGGUGUUGAAUAAUUAUAGGAGUUCUCUAACUCCGAUGACAGCUAAAGCGUUAAUUUGUACCCAAAAUUGGCUCCGAAACUCUCCAAAACUUGUCCUUGAGGAACUCAUCGAGGAAUUGGAGAAGUUAGAAUUAGAAGUUGCACCCACUCGUGAUCCCAAUGAAGAAGAUUCUGGUGUUGAGUCUGAUUAAAGUACAUCUUGUUAAGUUUUAUGGU